rnacentral:tRNA from 1 species
UGGACAUUCAGGGAAUCGAACCCUGGACCUUUCGCAAGGCCUUAUAACUUAUUAGCUAUUACUGCGAAGCGAAUAUUAUACCCCUAAACUAAAUGCCC